ACCGGAGAACGCCCCCGAAAGGGCGGUGCUUUGGAGAUGAACCCCGGAAGGCGAGGUUCAGCUCCUCCCACCCUCCCCUACCUGGCCAACGAAGAUCGCUGGUGAUGGGGAUUAGCUGUGGGCUGCUAGUUGUCCCUCUGCCCACGGCUCCUGGCCCGAGUCUGGAUUCAUUAGAGUCCCCGGCGCCCAGCUCUGAGUGCCAUGCCUAAGAAUUGGUGUCACGAACAAGGGUCAGCCCCCGGCUCGUCCGCAAGGAAGGGCGUCGGGCGGAGGCGCCAGUGCCUCCCGGAAGCCUUUCGUCGCUGUCGCCACCGGCCCCUGGCAGUGGCCGUGGCCGGACGUGAAGGCAGUCCCUCGGGCUGCAAUGCCUCCUGGAGCUGGGGCCACGGCUCAGUGGUGAAACCCUAAGUCGGAGCGUGGGUUGAGCCCUCGUGCACUCAGAGCCCAAUCAGACGAAAGGUGGCGUGGUGAGGCGGCAAGGGGUCCCAAGGAAAGUCCUCGGAUCCAGCUUCGAAUUACUGGCCUCCUCGCUGAGCCCUGAAAGAAACAGCGGUGCCUCCUUCCCAAGGGUGCGGAGAGGAAGAAUGAAACGUUGCCUGCUCCCUGCGUCUCAUCUUUUCUUUAUGCCUAUCCUGGAGCUCAGGAUUCAAGACUAUCGCUGACCGGAGUGCUUUUCACGAUUUUGAGGCUUAUACCAGUAGAACUCACUUACUGGCUGCUCUGCUGACCUUAGAAAGAAGUAAGGUCAUAUUUGAUGUCCUUUUCUUUGGCUAGAAACCUGAGCCAACCUUGGAAAAUACAAGGUCUUAACAAGGAUGAUGAUGCUGUGGAUGCUGGCAUUUCCAUGAUUGGGGAAACCAUCUCAGGAGCAGCCCUGUAGUGAGGAACUGAGCCUCAUGCCAGCAGCCACAUGAAUGAGCCUUCUUGGAAAUGGAUUCUUUAGCUCCUUCAGAGACUGCAGCUCUGAUUGACAGCCUGACUGUUACCUCCUGAGAGACCCUGAGCCCAAAGCACCCAGAUUCCUGACCCUAGAAACUCUGUGAAAUAACAAAUAUUUAAGUUGCUAAAUUAUGAGAUAAUUUGUCAUGCUGCAGUAAAUUACUGACACAAUUAUCUAUUAAUCUUUGUAUAAUUGAAUACAUAAAGUGAAUCUGCCACUAACACAAGAGCUAGAAUAUUGAUCAUAGCUUACUUCUAUCUAUGUGGCCUUUCUCCAUCCCUUUCUUCUUACUUCACCAAACUAAAGUGUUUUUGCAUGUUGUUGUUUUGUUUUGUUUUGUUUUGUUUUUUUGAGAUGGAGUCUUGCUCUUGUCUCCCAGG